GACAGAGGAUGCAAGCGUUAUCCGGAAUGAUUGGGCGUAAAGCGUCUGUAGGUGGCUUUUCAAGUCCGCCGUCAAAUCCCAGGGCUCAACCCUGGACAGGCGGUGGAAACUGCCAAGCUGGAGUACGGUAGGGGCAGAGGGAAUUUCCGGUGGAGCGGUGAAAUGCGUAGAUAUCUGGAGGAACACCGGUGGCGAAGGCGGCAUCCUGGACCGGCAUUGACGCUGAGGCGCGAAAGCCAGGGGAGCAAACGGG
rnacentral:rRNA from 1 species